rnacentral:rRNA from 1 species
UUCAGGUUAGUCGGGAGCUAAGGUGAGGCCUAACGGCGUAGCCGAUGCACAGACGGUAGAGAUUCCGUCACCACCAAAAGAGUUAAACACAGGGACACAUUUGAAGUCUCGGAGCCGGGUGUUGGUUCCGGUAGCGAUCGAGGGAAAUUAGUACCGAAGUCCGGGAUGGAAGAUGGCGAGAAAAGCUGUGUGUAUUUCUGCGGUGCCCGUACCGCAAACCGACACAGGUAGGUAGGAAGAAGAUUCUAAGGCCAACGGGAGAAGGGUUGUUAAGGAACUCGGCAAAUUGACCCCGUAACUUCGGGAGAAGGGGUGCUCUAGAGAUAGAGCCGCAGAGAAUCGGCCCAAGCAACUGUUUACCAAAAACACAGGUUUGUGCUAAAUCGAAAGAUGACGUAUACGAGCUGACGCCUGCCCGGUGCUGGAAGGUUAAGAGGAGAUGUGCAAGCAUUGAAUCGAAGCCCCAGUGAACGGCGGCCGUAACGAUAACGGUCCUAAGGUAGCGAAAUUCCUUGUCAGGUAAGUUCUGACCCGCAUGAAAGGCGUAAUGAUUUGGGCACUGUCUCGACAGCCCGCCCGGCGAAAUUGUAGUACCGGUGAAGAUGCCGGUUACCCGCGACAAGACGGAAAGACCCCAUGGAGCUUUACUGUAGCCUAAUAUUGGGUUUCGAUGUUGCAUGCACAGGAUAGAUGGGACACUGGGAAGCAAGUGCUUUGGCAUUUGUGGAGUGGCCGUUGGGAUACCAUCCUUGCGAUAUUGGAAUUCUAACCUGCGCCUUUGAAUCAAGGCGGGGGACAUUGUUAGGUGGGCAGUUUGACUGGGGCGGUCGCCUCCUAAAGAGUAACGGAGGCGUUCAAAGGUUCGCUCAGCUUGAACGGAAAUCAAGCAAAAGAGUGCAAACGCAGAAGCGAGCCUAACUGCGAGACUGACGGGUCGAGCAGUAACGAAAGUUGGAGUUAGUGAUCCGGUGGUAUGUGAGUGGAAAUGCCAUCGCUCAACGGAUAAAAGUUACCCUGGGGAUAACAGGCUGAUCUCCCCCAAGAGUCCACAUCGACGGGGAGGUUUGGCACCUCGAUGUCGGCUCAUCGCAUCCUGGGGCUGUAUUCGGUCCCAAGGGUUUGGCUGUUCGCCAAUUAAAGCGGUACGCGAGCUGGGUUCAGAACGUCGUGAGACAGUUCGGUCCCUAUCUGUCGUGGGCGCAGGAUAUUUGAUGGGAGCUGUUCCUAGUACGAGAGGACCGGAGCGGACGUACCUCUGGCGCACCAGUUGUUCUGCCAAGGGCAUAGCUGGGCAACUAUGUACGGAUCGGAUAAACGCUGAAAGCAUCUAAGCGUGAAGCCGACCCAAAGAUAAGAUAUCCCAUUGUUUCAAACAAGUAAGACCCCUUAAAGACUACAAGGUUGAUAGGCACGAUGUGUAAGUGGAGUGAUCCAUUCAGCAAGCGUGUACUAAUAGGUCGAGGGCUUGACC